AUACGGAGGGUGCAAGCGUUACUCGGAAUCACUGGGCGUAAAGCGCGCGUAGGCGGCUUGAUAAGUUGGAUGUGAAAGCCUACGGCUCAACCGUAGAACUGCAUCCAAAACUGUCAAGCUAGAGUCUGGGAGGGGAAGAUGGAAUUAGUUGUGUAGGGGUAAAAUCCGUAGAGAUAACUAGGAAUACCAAAAGCGAAGGCAAUCUUCUGGAACACUACUGACGCUGAGGUGCGAAAGCGUGGGGAGCAAACAGGAUUAGAAACCCCAGUAGUCC
rnacentral:rRNA from 1 species